AUUUCUUCGGAUUGAAAUUUUAGUGACUGAGUGGCGGACGGGUGAGUAACGCGUGGGUAACCUGCCUCACACAGGGGGAUAACAGCUGGAAACGGCUGCUAAUACCGCAUAAGCGCACAGAGCUGCAUGGCUCGGUGUGAAAAACUCCGGUGGUGUGAGAUGGACCCGCGUCUGAUUAGCCAGUUGGCGGGGUAACGGCCUACCAAGGCGACGAUCAAUAGCCGGCCUGAGAGGGUGAACGGCCACAUUGGGACUGAGACACGGUCCAAACUCC
rnacentral:rRNA from 1 species